CAACCACAGUGAGAAGAGCAGCAUGGCCUUUGUUCAAGGAUGACAUGCAAAUUGGUGAAGUGUUCCAUAUAGUU
rnacentral:snRNA from 1 species